ensembl:lncRNA
GGCAGUAAGAAUGUAAGGAGAACUAUCACAGGUUUGCUCACAGAAAUCCAAUGCAAAUCAAAUGGACUUCGCAAGAACUUUAAGCAGAAGAAUAGCUUCGGCUCUAACAUCAAAACAGAAGAGAAAGGGAUUCAGGAGCACAUGGAACUAACUCAAGAGGAACAUCAGCUCAUUAACACAUUGUGGCUGCUCAUCAAAAAUAUACAAUUCUUUUAGAAGCAACAGAAAGAUUUGUAUGUGUUCAUUAAUGGCAAGAAAUAACUUGUAAUUAAUUAUGUUAGAAAAUAACAGCAUAAUCAUAAAAGUUUAAAAUUUAAAGUUAUUUGAAAGAAAGAAAUUAUAAAUUGUAUUUCUUUUUUUGUUGGUUAGCUGCAGGGAUAUGGAAAUCCUGAACUGAUCUUUCUGCGACUCUCAUGGAUAGUCUUACAUAUACAGAGGUUAGUGGAUUUCACCAAGGGACUUCCAGGUAUCACACUGCCUUUGGAAAAAAUUAAAGUAAUUUAAUAUGUAAUUUUUUUAAAGUUCCUUGUUUUAAAGGAAGGUGACAUUUUAAGAAGACAAAACCUUCUAGUUUUCUAUCAAAACUGCCUCUAAAUUCAAAAACAUAUUGACUUUGUUUGCUUUAAUCAAUCAGGUGGAUGAAAAUAUAAAUAUUUAAAAAUAUUAUUCAAGUGACUUCAAAGACUUAGAGUUAAGACAAACUGUG